rnacentral:rRNA from 1 species
CCGACGGUGAGGGGUGAAAGCUGGGGGAGCAAACCGGAUUAGAUACCCGGGUAGUCCCAGCUGUAAACGAUGCAAACUCGAUGAUGCGUUGGCUUAUUGCUAGCGCAGUGUCGCAGGGAAGCCGUUAAGUUUGCCGCCUGGGAAGUACGUACGCAAGUAUGAAACUUAAAGGAAUUGGCGGGGGAGCACCACAAGGGGUGAAGCCUGCGGUUCAAUUGGAGUCAACGCCAGAAAUCUUACCCGGAGAGACAGCAGAAUGAAGGUCAAGCUGAAGACUUUACCAGACAAGCUGAGAGGUGGUGCAUGGCCGUCGCCAGCUCGUGCCGUGAGAUGUCCUGUUAAGUCAGGUAACGAGCGAGAUCCCUGCCUCUAGUUGCCACCAUUACUCUCAGGAGUAGUGGGGCGAAUUAGCGGGACCGCCGCAGUUAAUGCGGAGGAAGGAAGGGGCCACGGCAGGUCAGUAUGCCCCGAAACUCUGGGGCCACACGCGGGCUGCAAUGGUAACGACAAUUGGUUUCGAAUCCGAAAGGAUGAGGUAAUCCUCAAACGUUACCACAGUUAUGACUGAGGGCUGCAACUCGCCCUCACGAAUAUGGAAUCCCUAGUAACUGCGUGUCAUUAUCGCGCGGUGAAUACGUCCCUGCUCCUUGCACACACCGCCUAA